AAAUUUAUAAUUAUUAUUAUUAUUAGUGAGUAUUUUUUUUAUUUAAGAAAAAUAAAUUUUAGUAUUUAUUUAGAAAAAAUUAAUUUAAUUAUAGUUAAUUUGUAUUGUAAAAGAAUUUAUAAUUUUAUUAUAAAGAAAAAUUUAUUUUUUGUACCUUGUGUAUCAGGGUUUAUUAAAUUAUUUUAUUAAUUUUAUAUUUCUCGAAUUUAAAAGAGCUAUAAAUUAAAAUUUAUUAUUGUAGAAUAAAUAAAUUAAAUUUUUUUAUUGAAAUGAAACGUUAUUCGUUUUUAAAUAUAUCUAGUUUUUUAAGAAAAAAUUUUAAUUUUAUUGUAAUUAUUUAUUGUUUUUUUUAUUAAAAAUUAUAUAUGUUAUUUUAAAUAUAUUUAGGGAUGAGCUUAAAUAUAAAAUUUUAUAAAUUAAUAAAAAUGAAUUAUAAAUAGGAUUAAAAAUUUUCAUUUUUAUUAGUUUGUUAUAAUUAAUUUUUUUUGUAAAAAAAUUUUUAUUAGAUUUAGUUGUUUUAUUAAAAUAUUAAUUGGAAUUUAAUUAAUUAAGAAAUAAUGAUAAAAUUAGUAUAGAGUUAGUGUUUAUGAAUUUAAAAAUUUAAGAUUAAAUAAAGGAAUUCGGCAAAUAUAUUUUUCACCUGUUUAUUAAAAACAUGUCUUUAAGAUUAUAAUUUAAAGUCAGGCCUGCCCACUGAAGAUUAAAUGGCCGCAGUAUUUUGACUGUGCUAAGGUAGCAUAAUAAUUAGUUUUUUAAUUGGAAUCUGGAAUGAAGGGUUAAAUGAAAAAGUUUCUGUCUCUAUUUAAAAUCUAGAAUUUUAUUUUUAAGUUAAAAAGCUUAAAUUUUGUUAAAAGACGAGAAGACCCUAUAGAGUUUUAUAUACUGAUAUUUUUAUUUUUUAGGGAUUUAUAUUUUAAAAAAAUCUAUAUAUUUAAUUGGGGUGAUUAUAAAAUUUAAUUAACUUUUAUUUAAAUGAGUCAUUAUUAAAUGAAUAAGUGAUCCAAUUUUUUUGAUUAUAAGAUUAAAUUACCUUAGGGAUAACAGCGUUAUUUUUUUUUAGAGUUCUGAUUGAAAAAAGAGUUUGCGACCUCGAUGUUGGAUUAAAAUUUAUGUUUGGUGAAGAAGCUAAGCUAUUGGGUCUGUUCGACCCUUAAAAUUUUACAUGAUCUGAGUUUAAACCGGUGUGAGCCAGGUUGGUUUCUAUCUUUAUUAAAAUAAAUGUUUUAGUACGAAAGGAUCAAAUAUU
rnacentral:rRNA from 1 species